UCUGGACAGGACCCUGACAGCCUGAGCACCGAGUGGGGCCCAGGAAACUGGAAUCCAGACUUAACGCCAAUCACUUGUUCCAGCAAACUGAGCCAUCUCUAUCAGGGUAACCCACAAAUGCAGUUUUAGGAUUGCACUGGAUAACAAACUGUCUGUAGAGGGUAUGAAAUCAGACCACAAUUUCACAAUCUCAUCCAGCCCUUUAUGUGUAUUUGAAGAGUCCUCAUCUUAAGAUGUGACAAAGUAGCACGUGCAGAAGAAUGAAAGUAUGUUCCUUUCUUUUCUCAAAGGAUGCCUUCAAAAGACAGGGUCUUACUACAUAACCUUGGCUGUCUUAAACCUCACUACGUAGACCAUUGAUCAUAGAGACCCACGUGCCUCUGCCUCCCAACUGAGUGCUGGGAUCAAAGGUGACUUCCCAGCAUCUAUCUGCCACGGUCAUAGCCACAAAAUCCAGUUCUGACUAAUGGAGUGAGUGAGGAAGUUUCUCAGUUUGGAUUCUACAAAAGGCUUUGCAGCUGUCACAUUAUCUUUGGCCAACCUUUUCCCUUCUUGGCCUGACACACUAGCAAAUGUGCAGAAAAGCAUACGCCAAUAACAGUUGUGGGGAAGAGGACCAGGAGACACAGACAAUGGAGUAGGAUGCUGAAAAGAUCAUGUCUGCAAAGGUUUAAUAAACCUUCGUGCCAUCCCUGCUUGGUCUAUCCUCGGGCCUCCCAGUAUCCACAAGAAACAGAAUUAUUUCUUUAAGGAUGAAGCUUGAGAGAAAUGGGGAUUUAGCAUGCCUUCUGCACAUAAGCAUCAGCAUCUGGAUUUCCCUGGGUCAGAAGACUAGAGGAAGCUAUGCUCUUCCUUCCCUGAUGAUUCAGUAGUCUCUGCUCUGACCGAUGAGGAGAUGAGUCAGCAUAAAAGGUUGGAUGGCACAUUGGGAAUUCAGUUAGAAAUUUCACUGCUCUAUCAAUGACUGGAGAAGGGCCUGUACAUCAGCUUUCUCAUGCCAGCAAGUGGACAUUUCCUGAGCUUCUCAUAUCACUUCAUAUUGGCUGCUGCUAUCUGUGCUGCAUUUCACAGCAUUCAUCAUUCAUCAAAUCUUACAAAAGAAAGGUGGCUUUUGGAAGAUUAAUAGUUUAGUCAACUCCAUUUUAAAAGGCUAAUAGUAUUAAGAUUCCAUUUUGUCUCCUUUGGUUAGGGGCUUUUGCUUGGCCAGUAAGAAAAAUCAACAUGGAGGUAGCAUCGGUCUGUAGCAAUCAGAAUGAAGUUGAGAAUGUAGUCUCAGAUGCAAAACAGCUAGACUUUAAUAUUUUGUUUUAUUUUGGAGGCAUGCAAAGCAAUGGGUUCCUUUAUGGCAUGUUCUUAUAUGCAUGCCAUUGUGCUUUGCUUAUGUUUACCCCGUAACCCCUGCCUCCCCCCUUCUGCCAAUAUUCUAUAUCAUUCCCCCCAAAUAGUCCCCUUCUCACUUCUAGUCAUUUAAACAUUAUAGAUAGAUGCAAGCACAAACAAUGCACAGAUAGAGGUAUUUAACCUUUCCAGGUAUAAGAAAGAACAAGCAGUGUUUUUUUUUUUUAAAUAGAAACAUCUUCAAUAUGAGCUGAGCAGCUGCACACAUACCCUUCCCCCAUGCAUACCGACCUCCCCAGUGGGUCAAACCACAGAUUCCUGAAGGAAGGCUGACUUCUCCUCAUCUCCACACAAGGUUGCAUGUCUCCCACACUACCCAGAAACCAAAAUGGCAUCCUGUCCCUGUCUUACAAAGCAUCCAUUCUUUUCUUUAAACAUGUUUUCCUUUUGCAUUUUUUCCACAUGUUUAGAAUACACCAAUGUUUUUUAGCCUCAAACAGAACAUGAACAACCAAUUAAAGUCAUCCUAAUGUAAUGUUUUGUCUAAGACCACAUCAUAUGAUGUUCAUAUAUAUUUUUUUAUUAUUUUAAAAAACCUUUUCUAUCUUGGCUCAAAAAUCCUACAUUCUUUAAACAGUUUAAGUAUGUAUGUGAAUGUGUGUCAGUGCAAGUAAGUGCAGGUUACCUGGGAGACCAGAAGGGGCAUCAUACCCUUGCUGCUGGAGUUACAGGCAGUUGGGAGAUGUCUGAGAUGACUAGUGGGAGAAGGACUCUGCACGGACAGCAAGCACUCUGAUUGAGCCAUCUAUCUAACCCAGUACCUCCUCUUGCACUGGCACCAUCAGAGCCCAUCCCUAAAACAUGGCUUACUGACUGAUCUCUUUGUUUUCAAGUUAUAAACACAGCCACCAUUUUGUAAAAUCAAAGGUGUCAUGGACAUUGACUUCAUCCCCCAGUAUAUUAUUCUUUGUUCUGACUACAUUGACUUAUUUUUUGUUGACACCAUCUCUCCAAAAAACAGGAAAUAGGCAUGUGAGUGAAUCCUCUAGUUCUCUUUUUUAAAAAAUAAUCACUCUCUAGACUCAUCUUAAUAUAUUUUGCUACUCCUUGGGGAAACAAAAACAAAAUACUCUGAAAGUCAAAUGAGCCUUUUAUAUUUAAAUUUCAAGUACAUUGAUGCUCAAGAUCACACCUUGUUCAUUGGUCCACCAGAAGCCAAAGCAGAAGUCAUUGAAUGAAAUCGGACCCUAGUCUCCUUUGAUUUCCCGAUAGUAUUUUGUGAGAAUAAAACUCUAACUAGUGAGUGUGAUCGUUGGUUUAGAAAGUGUUAUAGACUGGAAGGCAGGCAAAUGUCCAAACAGGAAAGGUAAUGAAGAUUUUAACAAAUUUUUAAAAUUAUUAUCUCACUAAAAUAGCUUCAUAAUCAUCUCUAAAAAUCUUUCUUAAUUUCUUAAAACUUUGUGUUCUGUUUCAUAUGCCUUAGGGUGGUGGGAGAGAUGAAAAUAUCAAAUGCAGCAAUACCUCUUAUAAACUGAACAUUUUAUGUCUCUGACUCAAGAUUACUUCAUGGGCUUGUGCUGGAAGAUUAUUGGAUUCUUUUGAUGAGAUAUUGGAUAUUUCCAACAAGAGGGUAAGUGGUACAAUACCUCUGAGAGAGACUGGCCUGA